rnacentral:rRNA from 1 species
CCUACGGGAGGCAGCAGUGGGGAAUAUUGCACAAUGGGGGAAACCCUGAUGCAGCGACGCCGCGUGAGUGAAGAAGUAAUUCGUUAUGUAAAGCUCUAUCAGCAGGGAAGAAAAUGACGGUACCUGAGUAAGAAGCACCGGCUAACUACGUGCCAGCAGCCGCGGUAAUACGUAGGGGGCAAGCGUUAUCCGGAUUUACUGGGUGUAAAGUGAGCGUAGACGGCAGUGCAAGUCUGGAGUGAAAGGCGGGGGCUCAACCCCCGGACUGCUCUGGAAACUGUACGGCUGGAGUGCAGGAGAGGUAAGUGGAAGUCCGAGUGUAGCGGUGAAAUGCGUAGAUAUUAGGAGGAACACCAGUGGCGAAGGCGGCUUACUGGACUGUAACUGACGUUGAGGCUCGAAAGCGUGGGGAGCAAACAGGAUUAGAUACCCUAGUAGUC